rnacentral:rRNA from 1 species
UACGUAGGGUACGAGCGUUAAUCGGAAUUACUGGGCGUAAAGUGUGCGCAGGCGGCCAUGCAAGUCGAGUGUGAAAGCCCCGGGCUUAACUUGGGAAUUGCGCUCGAAACUACGUGGCUGGAGUGUGGCAGAGGAAGGUGGAAUUCCACGUGUAGCGGUGAAAUGCGUAGAGAUGUGGAGGAACACCAAUGGCGAAGGCAGCCUUCUGGGCCAACACUGACGCUCAUGCACGAAAGCGUGGGGAGCAAACAGG